rnacentral:rRNA from 1 species
UACGUAGGGUGCAAGCGUUGUCCGGAAUUAUUGGGCGUAAAGAGCUCGUAGGCGGCUCAUUGCGUCAACCUGAAAUCCUGCUGCUCAACGGCAGGUCUGCGGUUGAUACGGGUGGGCUGGAGUUCGGUAGGGGAGACUGGAAUUCCUGGUGUAGCGGUGAAAUGCGCAGAUAUCAGGAGGAACACCUGCGGCGAAGGCGGGUUGCUGGGGCCGACAC